CCUGAACUUCCUUUCCAUGGAGUGAUUUUAUCUUACAAGGAGUACAACUCUCCUCCUCAUACCAUGAAUCCUCGUUUGGGAUCAGAACAUAUAUUAAUAGAGACUGUCACCCAUCAGGACAUCAAUACUUCACCUCUGCAGGAAAGAUGGCAGACUGGACUUUGGUGAUUGGCGGGAUAUUCAAAUUAAAGCUCCUUAGUCCCUGUGGAACAUAUGCUAAUGGAGAGGGCACACAGAACACCCAUGUUGAAUGGGGAGCGGCCACUCAGGGAAAACACGGAGGAAUAGAACCCAGGCAAAUUCAUUCACGGAUGGAUGUCUGCAUCCCCAUUAUCACGCCAGCAGUGCCCAUAUCGUAUGUCCGGAGAAGACCAGGCCAGAUGGGAACUGCGUGAAAGCUACCAGUUAUCUUGCUAAUUGAGCCAGCUAGAGCCAGUUGUAUUGCAUUAAAAAAUGUGGAAUCCAACAACUUCGCUGUUCACACUCAAUUAGCAGUGUGCUGGAGAAUGGAAAAUUCAAGCAAGGAGUCCAUGUGCUCUGGGAAGUGACAGCUGCUUCCUUACCCAGCAUUUAAU